GGUAGGCUGGAGCCAGCUGUCCUGGCCGUCCUAGGGGUUGGAGAUGGCUGCGCCCCAGGGGCGAGGCGCCGCCUUUUCCCCGCGCCUGGACGAGUCUAUCCCAGGCCGCAAGGGAUGCUUUCAUUCCCAGGGUGUCCCGGGAGGGAGAGAUUGGAGGAUGUAGCCUUGUUGUCUGGUCGACUUUCUGUUGCGAUUGACAAU
rnacentral:lncRNA from 1 species